CCUACGGGAGGCAGCAGUGAGGAAUAUUGGUCAAUGGACGAGAGUCUGAACCAGCCAAGUAGCGUGAAGGAUGACUGCCCUAUGGGUUGUACACUUCUUUUAUAAAGGAAUAAAACGAGGCACGUCUGCCUUUUUGCAUGUACUUUAUGUAUAAGGAUCGGCUAACUCCGUGCCAGCGGCCCCGGGACUACGGCGGAUCCGAGCGUUGUCCGGAAUUAUUGGGUUUAAAGGGAGCGUAGAUGGGUUGUUAAGUCAGUUGUGAAAGUUUGCGGCUCAACCGUAAAAUUGCAAUUGAUACUGGCAGUCUUGAGUAAAAUUGAGGUAGGCGGAAUUCGUGGUGUAGCGGUGAAAUGCUUAGAUAUCACGAAGAACCCCGAUUGCGAAGGCAGCUUACUAAACUGUGACUGACAUUGAUGCUCGAAAGAGUGGGUAUCAAACAGGAUUAGAUACCCUUGUAGUC
rnacentral:rRNA from 1 species